AACGCGAAGAACCUUACCUGGGCUUGAACCGCACAGGACCAGCUCUAGAAAUAGAGCCUUCCCGCAAGGGACCUGUGUAGAGGUGCUGCAUGGCUGUCGUCAGCUCGUGCCGUGAGGUGUUGGGUUAAGUCCCGCAACGAGCGCAACCCUUACUCAUAGUUGCUACCCGCAAGGGAGAACUCUAUGAGGACUGCUCCGGAUAACGGAGAGGAAGGUGGGGAUGAGGUCAAGUCAGCAUGGCCUUUAUGUCCAGGGCAACACACGUGUUACAAUGCGCGCUACAAUGCGUCGCGAACCCGCGAGGGGGAGCUAAUCGCAAAAAAGCGCGCUCAGUUCGGAUUGCAGUCUGCAACUCGACUGCAUGAAGCUGGAAUCGCUAGUAAUGGCGCAUCAGCACGGCGCCGUGAAUACGUUCCCGGGCCUUGUA
rnacentral:rRNA from 1 species